CAGGGACCAAAGAAGAAGAGGGACUUGGGAGUGCUGGGUUAUGUCAUGGGAUCCAUGCUAAUGGCCAUCUCACUACUGCUGGCAUCUGGCAUAGUAAUCGGCUACUUUUAUAAAAAAGGCCGGAGCCUGAUAAGGGAGCAGGAGCGUGAGACCUGUGAGAGGGAGACACAGAGAAGCAACCUUCCUCUCUCCGCCUUCUCCAACCUUGCCUGCAACCUGCUGGACGAGAACACAGCAUCUGCUAAUGGCCA